rnacentral:rRNA from 1 species
UACGUAGGGACCAAGCGUUGUUCGGAUUUACUGGGCGUAAAGGGCGCGUAGGCGGCUUAACAAGUCACUUGUGAAAUCUCCGGGCUUAACUCGGAACGGCCAAGUGAAACUGUCAAGCUAGAGUGCAGAAGGGGCAAUCGGAAUUCUUGGUGUAGCGGUGAAAUGCGUAGAUAUCAAGAGGAACACCUGAGGUGAAGACGGGUUGCUGGGCUGACACUGACGCUGAGGCGCGAAAGCGUGGGUAGCAAACAGG